UCCAAUCAGCUUCCAGCUCGUACGCUGUCCACGCGUUCCUCCAGCCAAUCACAGUCUCACUCCCAGCUGUCACUGACCGACUCUCCUCACUCACAGUGGCCUCUCACCCCUCAGCCGAGUGCAACCAUCCAGCCCGCAGCUGUGCCUUUCCCACAGGGCCUUCUGACAAACCUUCUGGGAGCCAGACAGUGGCCUGGGGCUGUGAGGAGCUGGAGCAAGUUGUCCUCUUUCUGAGAGUGGAAAAGAAUCCCAUUUUGAUUAUUCGUAUUUUAUUUGUGGAGAGCAUCUGA
rnacentral:lncRNA from 12 species